rnacentral:rRNA from 1 species
UAGAGUUUGAUCCUGGCUCAGAUUGAACGCUGGCGGCAUGGCUAAGGCAUGCAAGUCGUGCGGGCCAAGUAGCAAUAUUUGGUCAGCGGCGGACGGGUGAGUAAUACAUAGACAACGUACCUUGAACACGAGGAUAACGCCGGGCGCAAGCCCUUUGCGAAAGUGGUGCUAAUACUCGAUGAAGUCGGUGAGUCGCCUGGCUCGCCGAUCAAAGGUGGGGACCGCAAGGCCUACCGGUUUGAGAUCGGUCUAUGUCCUAUCAGCUAGUUGGUGGGGUAAUGGCCCACCAAGGCGAAGACGGGUAGCCGGACUGAGAGGUCGGACGGCCACAUCGGGACUGAGACACUGCCCGGACACCUACGGGUGGCUGCAGCAACGAAUCUUCCGCAAUGGGCGAAAGCCUGACGGAGCAAUGCCGCGUGCAGGAUGAAGCUCUUCGGGGUGUAAACUGCUGUGAGGGUUUCGCAAGCAACCAUGGUAAAUAAUCAUGGAAGUUGAGCAGACCCAGAGGAAGCCUCGACUAACUCUGUGCCAGCAGUCGCGGUAAUACAGAGGAGGCAAGCGUUACUCGGAAUCAUUGGGCUUAAAGCGCACGUAGGUGGCUCGGUAAGUGUUACGUGAAAUCUCGCGGCUCAACCGCGGAACUGCGCGACAUACUGUCGGGCUUGAGGCCGGUAGAGGUGUCUGGAACUCCAGGUGGAGCGGUGAAAUGCGUAGAUAUCUGGAGGAACGCCAAAUGCGAAAGCAGACACUGGGCCGGUCUGACACUGAGGUGCGAAAGCGUGGGGAUCAAACAGGAUUAGAUACCCUGGUAGUCCACGCCCUAAACGAUGCACACUAAACGUCGGCGGUUCUGACAUCGCCGGCGUCGGAGCGAAAGUGCUAAUUGUGCGCCUGGGGAGUACGGCCGCAGGCUAAACUCAAGGAAUUGACGGGGGCUCCCCAGCGGUGGAGCCCGUUGCUUAUUCAAGCACCCGAAAACCUUACCCGGGUUGACUGCAAACGCCUCACGGGAUAACUCAGAAGUCGCCCCAAGGUAAGCUGGCCAGUGUUGCAUGGCUGCCUCACCUCUGCUUGUAAGUUCGGUUAAUUCCUUACAAGCAAAUCCCG